AACGAACGCUGGCGGCAGGCUUAACACAUGCAAGUCGAGCGCGUAGCAAUACGAGCGGCAGACGGGUGAGUAACGCGUGGGAAUCUACCCAUCACUACGGAAUAACCCAGGGAAACUUGGACUAAUACCGUAUACGACCGAGAGGUGAAAGAUUUAUCGGUGAUGGAUGAGCCCGCGUUGGAUUAGCUAGUUGGUGGGGUAAAGGCCUACCAAGGCGACGAUCCAUAGCUGGUCUGAGAGGAUGAUCAGCCACACUGGGACUGAGACACGGCCCAGACUCCUACGGGAGGCAGCAGUGGGGAAUAUUGGACAAUGGGCGCAAGCCUGAUCCAGCCAUGCCGCGUGAGUGAUGACGGCCUUAGGGUUGUAAAGCUCUUUCACCGGUGAAGAUAAUGACGGUAACCGGAGAAGAAGCCCCGGCUAACUUCGUG
rnacentral:rRNA from 1 species